AAAGAAGCUUGAACAAUAGCAUCGACACUUCCAGAGCUCGCCGAAACGCAUAAUUUGCAACUGAAAUGCUAUAAACCCAUAAUCAGAAUUUUCUGCAUAAUUCUGCAUCAGAGCACCAACUACAAAAAUACCUACUGACCUCAUUUCACGUCCAAAAAUUAUGCAACCAGUGCCACAACGACCGUAUUUGAGUUAGCUAUCCAUAGAAACAAACGGCAUCUCAAACGGUUUUACAGAGAGAGAACAGUCACCUUUUUAGUGCCUGUCUAUCCAGAAUACGAGUUUAACCCAAAUUCUUCCAAUUCUUCUAGUUCCCUUAAUUCUUAACUCAUUCACCAAAUCCAUUAAUUGUGAACAGAAUACAUGCAUAUCCAAAUAUGGAAACAUGAUUUGGGGUUAGGAAUUAGAAUUUCAACCAUCAACAUGAGAAGGAAUGGAGAAAUCAAGUUCUUACCUUAGAAUACUAACAACUCCAAUUGAUGGUUGUGAACAUAGAUUGGCAUAUGCAAGCUUUAAGAAUGGAGGAACAUGAACUUGUGAGGGAGGAAGGGAUUUUCGACCAAUAGCAGGAAUGAGAGGAAAU
rnacentral:lncRNA from 1 species